rnacentral:rRNA from 1 species
GACGAACGCUGGCGGCGUGCUUAACACAUGCAAGUCGAACGGAAAGGCCCUGCUUUUGUGGGGUGCUCGAGUGGCGAACGGGUGAGUAACACGUGAGUAACCUGCCCUUGACUUUGGGAUAACUUCAGGAAACUGGGGCUAAUACCGGAUAGGAGCUCCUGCUGCAUGGUGGGGGUUGGAAAGUUUCGGCGGUUGGGGAUGGACUCGCGGCUUAUCAGCUUGUUGGUGGGGUAGUGGCUUACCAAGGCUUUGACGGGUAGCCGGCCUGAGGGGGUGACCGGCCCACAUGGGGCGGGGGUACGGGCCCAACUCCUUCGGGGGGGCAGAGGGGGGGAUAUUGCCCCAAGGGGGGGAGGCCGAAGCCGGAACGCCCGGGGGGGGGAGGCCGGCCUUGGGGUGUAAAACCGUUUUCCCCGGGACCAAGGGGGGGGUAAGGGAAUGGGUAAAAAAACCCCCGGUAACCUCGGG